UGGGGAAUUUUGGACAAUGGGCGAAAGCCUGAUCCAGCAAUGCCGCGUGUGUGAAGAAGGCCUUCGGGUUGUAAAGCACUUUUGUCCGGAAAGAAAUCCUUGGCUCUAAUACAGUCGGGGGAUGACGGUACCGGAAGAAUAAGCACCGGCUAACUACGUGCCAGCAGCCGCGGUAAUACGUAGGGUGCAAGCGUUAAUCGGAAUUACUGGGCGUAAAGCGUGCGCAGGCGGUUUGCUAAGACCGAUGUGAAAUCCCCGGGCUCAACCUGGGAACUGCAUUGGUGACUGGCAGGCUAGAGUAUGGCAGAGGGGGGUAGAAUUCCACGUGUAGCAGUGAAAUGCGUAGAGAUGUGGAGGAAUACCGAUGGCGAAGGCAGCCCCCUGGGCCAAUACUGACGCUCAUGCACGAAAGCGUGGGGAGCAAACAGGAUUAGAUACCCUGGUAGUCCACGCCCUAAACGAUGUCAACUAGUUGUUGGGGAUUCAUUUCCCUAGUAACGUAGCUAACGCGUGAAGUUGACCGCCUGGGGAGUACGGUCGCAAGAUUAAAACUUAAAGGAAUUGAC
rnacentral:rRNA from 1 species